rnacentral:rRNA from 1 species
UGGGGAAUAUUGGACAAUGGGCGAAAGCCUGAUCCAGCAAUGCCGCGUGAGUGAUGAAGGCCUUAGGGUUGUAAAGCUCUUUUACCAGGGAUGAUAAUGACAGUACCUGGAGAAUAAGCUCCGGCUAACUCCGUGCCAGCAGCCGCGGUAAUACGGAGGGAGCUAGCGUUGUUCGGAAUUACUGGGCGUAAAGCGUACGUAGGCGGUUAUUCAAGUCAGAGGUGAAAGCCCGGGGCUCAACCCCGGAACGGCCUUUGAAACUAGAUAGCUAGAAUCUUGGAGAGGUCAGUGGAAUUCCGAGUGUAGAGGUGAAAUUCGUAGAUAUUCGGAAGAACACCAGUGGCGAAGGCGACUGACUGGACAAGUAUUGACGCUGAGGUACGAAAGCGUGGGGAGCAAACAGGAUUAGAUACCCCCGUAGUCCCUGAGCGGGCUGGCAAGGCGCAU